GUGCCAGCAGCCGCGGUAAUACGGGGGGUGCAAGCGUUAUUCGGAUUUACUGGGCGUAAAGCGCGCGUAGGCGGCCGUUUAAGUCAGAUGUGAAAGCCCGGGGCUCAACCCCGGAAGUGCAUUUGAUACUAUUCGGCUUGAGUAUGGGAGAGGGAAGUGGAAUUCCUGGUGUAGAGGUGAAAUUCGUAGAUAUCAGGAGGAAUACCGGUGGCGAAGGCGACCACCUGGCCAGAUACUGACGCUGAGGUGCGAAAGCGUGGGGAGCAAACAGGAUUAGAUACCCCAGUAGUCC
rnacentral:rRNA from 1 species